GACGAACGCUGGCGGCGUGCUUAACACAUGCAAGUCGAACGGAAAGGCCCUGCUUUUGUGGGGUGCUCGAGUGGCGAACGGGUGAGUAACACGUGAGUAACCUGCCCUUGACUUUGGGAUAACUUCAGGAAACUGGGGCUAAUACCGGAUAGGAGCUCCUGCUGCAUGGUGGGGGUUGGAAAGUUUCGGCGGUUGGGGAUGGACUCGCGGCUUAUCAGCUUGUUGGUGGGGUAGUGGCUUACCAAGGCUUUGACGGGUAGCCGGCCUGAGAGGGUGACCGGCCACAUUGGGCCUGAGAUACGGCCCAGACUCCUACGGGCGGCAGCAGUGGGGAAUAUUGCACACUGGGCGGAAGCCUGAUGCAGCAACGCCGCGUGCGGGAUGACGGCCUUCGGGUUGUAAACCGCUUUCGCCUGUGACGAAGCGUGAGUGCCGGUCAUGGGUAAAGAAGCACCGGCUACCUCCGUG
rnacentral:rRNA from 1 species